AGAGUUUGAUCAUGGCUCAGAACGAACGCUGGCGGCAGGCUUAACACAUGCAAGUCGAACGCGUGUAGCAAUACACGAGUGGCGCACGGGUGAGUAACACGUGGAUAUCUGCCUUUUGGUUCGGGAUAACCCUGGGAAACUAGGGCUAAUACCGAAUGGUUCCUACGGGAUAAAGAUUUAUCGCCAAAAGAUGAGUCCGCGUCCGAUUAGCUAGUUGGUGAGGUAAUGGCUCACCAAGGCGACGAUCGGUAGCUGGUCUGAGAGGACGAUCAGCCACACUGGGACUGAGACACGGCCCAGACUCCUACGGGAGGCAGCAGUGGGGAAUAUUGGACAAUGGGGGCAACCCUGAUCCAGCCAUGCCGCGUGAGUGAUGAAGGCCUUCGGGUUGUAAAGCUCUUUUGGCGGGGACGAUGAUGACGGUACCCGCAGAAUAAGCCCCGGCUAACUUCGUGCCAGCAGCCGCGGUAAGACGAAGGGGGCUAGCGUUGUUCGGAAUUACUGGGCGUAAAGCGCGUGUAGGCGGUUGUCCAAGUUGGAUGUGAAAGCCUUGAGCUUAACUCAAGAAAUGCAUUCAGGACUGGAUGACUAGAGGACCGGAGAGGAUAGUGGAAUUCCCAGUGUAGUGGUGAAAUACGUAGAGAUUGGGAAGAACACCAGUGGCGAAGGCGGCUAUCUGGACGGUUUCUGACGCUAAGACGCGAAAGCGUGGGGAGAAACAGGAUUAGAUACCCUAGUAGUCC
rnacentral:rRNA from 1 species